rnacentral:lncRNA from 1 species
AAUGGCAAAAUUUGCUACAGGGUAUCGAAAAAACGCGUAAUUAGCCGUGGACACCGUAAGAUCACGAAUUCGCUGCAAGGCACCACAAAUGUGUGGCAAUUAGCUACCAAGCACUCCAGCAAAUGUUUUAUUACUUUUGGAGUCAAAAAUUAUAAAAAUGACGAGAUUGUCCUCGAUGGCCAAUCCGUUAUGUCGACUGGGUUUAGUCAAACCAGAGCCAGUUGGUCUCGGCGCCACACCACACCCAAACCCUAGCCUACAAGCCGAGUGAGCAGG